CUUAGACUUUAGUCACCUUGUCCUUUUCUUCCCUCUUAGACCUGCACAACUUCUCUGAAAUGAAUCUCCCUUGGCUUUUACAGUAAAGAAUAAGAAUUCAGCACAAUGAUCUUAGAAUGGAAAUAGCAACCUUAGGGCUUGUUUUCAUGAGUAGGCUAUUACUUCUACAAGAAAACAAUCUCACGAGAAGACUACAGCUUUACAGAUCAAUGGAGAUACCUUCAGACUGCUGAACAACUAUUUUAAAGUAUUAUAGAUAAAAUUUUAAAGAUUUCACAAAUGUUCUUGGCCAUCCUGUAUACUUCUGACAGCUCUCCAAAGGACCCAUCUUCUGGCUAAAGAAAAGUGGAAAUAACAGAUAGCCUUCACAAAGGUCAUUGGAUUCAGUACUUUGGAAGGAAAGCCCACUGACACUUGAUGAUUUGAAAGCAAAUCCUCAGAGAUACUCAGAUACCACUCAUCAGUCACCAGAUGGACACCUAUGUUUUUAAACAGCGACAGUUUGCUAUCUGCUAAAUUUCAUUUAAUGGUCUCUGCUCCAGAGCAGAUAACAAUAAUUCAGGGAAUUUAUCUGGAUUAUCUGACUGACCUUUUCCUCUAAUUUCUCAGUCAGUCUUGCUUCUUGCUUUCAACAUGUGUCAGAAGUCAUUGCUGCUCUCCUCUCCUGUCCCUGAAAUGUCACUGCCUUGAUACUCUGUAAGUGAUUCUGCCUAACUCUUGUCUUGCUCCUGUGUUCUGUUGUUGCCUACAUUACCAUUAUUCUGCCAGUCUUGCAGCCUGAAACGUACACAAAAUAUGUGUUAGCAUGCAAAGUUAUUAUUUUCUUUGGGUUGUUAAACAUGCCAAUCUAAUCCUACACUAUCUACUCCGCCUCUUUCAGGUUAAGAAGUAGUAAAAGCAAGUGUGCAAAAAGAAAACAAGGCCCAUUUUUAAGCAAUAGAAUUCUUUAUUGAGUUAAUCCUAAUUGCUGAAUUAUCAUUUCAGAUACUAUAUAUUUGGCAAAGCAAACUGGAUAUUUAUCCUUCUGUGUGUUACAUCAACUUAAUGUCAGUGAACGCUCUUUCCUAUUCUAGCAAAUAGUGACAUACCCAGCAGUUUUGCCAGGUUGGAAACUGAUUAUUCAUCUUUAAAAAUUGAUAGGACUAUUUUGUGUUAAUUAGAAGUAAUGAUAGAUUUUUCUGGUUUUUUUAAGUAUAUUCCAUUGUUGUCCUUUAGCUUUUAAUAGACUUUGAUUGACAGCUUUGGAUAACUCUAGUGAGUUGGCUCAGAGGAAUAACACUCAAAUAAAGCAAAACAUAAAUAUUAUUAACAAAACUAUUCAUCUCAACUGCUUCAUCAAAAUUAAUUCAGCUUCUCAAACUGCACGUAACUGUCUAAUAAAGAGUUAGCUGCAUCACACAGUCUGUGAACAUUCAAUCAGGAUGGCAUAAUGUUGCAGUAUUAUUGAAAUAAACAUAAACCUUUUAGUAACCUGCCAGGGGAUCCUGAUAGAUUAUUUUCAUUGAAUUUCUAAUUGCAGUAAAGCUGCCAUUGUAGUCUAAAGUGAAAAUAGUGACUGUAAAUAUGAUCUAAUUGUGUGUUUCCUUCAUAAAUUAAUAUAGCAGACUCAAAACAGAUAGUAUGGUAAAAAGGUAAAUAAGUGUUUUAUUUUUUUAAAAAUUAAUACACAAUAGAUGCCUUACUGGCUCUUGAAAACCAGCAUGUAUCAUGAAGUAAACAGUAGAAGUUAAUGCAAUUUUGAUUUGGUAUUUCUAUCCCAUUUUCAGUUUUCUGUGAACAUUUGUACAAGCAUAUUUUUGUUUACAUGGCCAUUUGUGGACCGAAUACGUACAUAAUUAUUUGCUCUGGAAGUACUCAUAUGGCCAUCUUGGUAUUUAUUCAUGGACUUGUGUGUUGGAAUGCCAUCGAAACAGAACCAGUAUAAUGUGACCUGGGUAACCAGAAUAAAAUCACAGAUAUAUUAGUUACUCAUCUGAAUACUCACAGCAGAUCAUUUGUGAGCAAUCAAUUGGCAGAAAUUAGUUUGCACAAAAGGCUUGUUAAAUAAUUGCAAUUGGCGAGCCAAUUAAUAAAAAUCAAUCUGUUUGCAGGCAGUUCACAAACAAGUA